rnacentral:rRNA from 1 species
GACGAACGCUGGCGGCGUGCUUAACACAUGCAAGUCGAACGGAAAGGUCUCUUGCUGGCGGUUCUCGCGUUGCCAACGGGCGAGUAACACAUAAGUGACUUACCCUUCUCUUUGGGUUGGCUUCCUUCAACAGAGCCGAAUACCUACUAGGAGAUCCUUUUGCCUGCUUGGUGCUGUAGAGUUUCGGCGGUUGGCGAUGGACUGUCGGCUUAUCGGCUCGUCAGUGGGUGAGUGGCUUACUAAGGCAUUGACGGGUAGCCGACCCGUGAGGGUGAUCGGCCACAUUGGGCCUGAGAUACGGCCCAGACUCCUACGGGAGGCAGCAGUGGGGAGUAUUGCACAAUGGGUGGAAGCCUGAUGCAGCAACGCCGUGUGCGGGAUGACGGCCUUCGGGUUGUAAACCGCUUUCGCUGAUGACAAAGCUUUGUGGGACGGUAGUGGGUAAAGAGGCACCGGCUAACUACGU